UACGUAGGGAGCAAGCGUUGUCCGGAAUCAUUGGGCGUAAAGGGCGCGUAGGUGGCUUCUUAAGCGUGCGGUGAAAGCCUGGGGCUCAACCCCGGGCCGGCAGUGGAUACGGGCUGGCUAGAGGCAGGCAGGGGAGAGCGGAAUUCCUGGUGUAGCGGUGAAAUGCGCAGAUAUCAGGAGGAACACCGGUGGCGAAGGCGGUUCUCUGGGCCUGUACUGACGCUGAGGCGCGAAAGCGUGGGGAGCAAACAGG
rnacentral:rRNA from 1 species